rnacentral:rRNA from 1 species
UGCAAGUCGUACGCGAAAGCGGCCUUCGGGCCGCGAGUAGAGUGGCGAACGGGUGAGUAUCGCGUGGGUGACCUGCCUUCGAGUGGGGGAUAACCUUCCGAAAGGGGGGCUAAUACCGCAUAACAUCCCGCCCUUGGAUGGGUGGUGAUCAAAGUCGGGGAUCUUCGGACCUGGCGCUUGAAGAGGGACCCGCGUCCGAUUAGCUUGUUGGUGGGGUAGCGGCCUACCAAGGCGACGAUCGGUAGCCGGCCUGAGAGGGCGGACGGCCACACUGGGACUGAGACACGGCCCAGACUUCUACGGGAGGCAGCAGUAAGGAAUUGUUCGCAAUGGGCGCAAGCCUGACGACGCAACGCCGCGUGGAGGACGAAGAUCUUCGGGUUGUAAACUCCUGUCAAGCGGGAAGAACAGCGUGCGGGUUAAUACCCCGCACGCCUGACGGUACCGCUGAAGGAAGCCCCGGCUAACUCCGUGCCAGCAGCCGCGGUAAUACGGGGGGGGCAAGCGUUGUUCGGAAUUACUGGGCGUAAAGGGCUCGUAGGCGGCCAGCCAAGUCGGACGUGAAAUCCCUCGCCUCAACCGGGGAACUGCAUCCGAUACUGGUUGGCUUGAAGCCGGGAGAGGGAUGCGGAAUUCCAGGUGUAGCGGUGAAAUGCGUAGAUAUCUGGAGGAACACCGGUGGCGAAGGCGGCAUCCUGGACCGGUCUUGACGCUGAGGAGCGAAAGCCA